AAACCAACCGGGAUUGCCUUAGUAACGGCGAGUGAAGCGGCAAAAGCUCAAAUUUGAAAUCUGGUACCUUCGGUGCCCGAGUUGUAAUUUGGAGAGGGCAACUUUGGGGCCGUUCCUUGUCUAUGUUCCUUGGAACAGGACGUCAUAGAGGGUGAGAUUCCCGUGUGGCGAGGAGUGCGGUUCUUUGUAAAGUGCCUUCGAAGAGUCGAGUUGUUUGGGAAUGCAGCUCUAAGUGGGUGGUAAAUUCCAUCUAAAGCUAAAUAUUGGCGAGAGACCGAUAGCGAACAAGUACAGUGAUGGAAAGAUGAAAAGAACUUUGAAAAGAGAGUGAAAAAGUACGUGAAAUUGUUGAAAGGGAAGGGCAUUUGAUCAGACAUGGUGUUUUGUGCCCUCUGCUCCUUGUGGGUAGGGGAAUCUCGCAUUUCACUGGGCCAGCAUCAGUUUUGGUGGCAGGAUAAAUCCAUAGGAAUGUAGCUUGCCUCGGUAAGUAUUAUAGCCUGUGGGAAUACUGCC
rnacentral:rRNA from 1 species